AUUGAACGCUGGCGGAAUGCUUUACACAUGCAAGUCGAACGGCAGCACGGGAGCUUGCUCCUGGUGGCGAGUGGCGAACGGGUGAGUAACAUAUCGGAACGUACCCCGUCGUGGGGGAGUAACUCUCCGAAAGGAGUGCUAAUACCGCAUACGACCUGAGGGUGAAGCGGGGGACCUGCAAGGGCCUCGCGCGAUGGGAGCGGCCGAUAUCGGAUUAGCUAGUUGGUGAGGUAAAGGCUCACCAAGGCGACGAUCCGUAGCGGGUCUGAGAGGACGACCCGCCACACUGGAACUGAGACACGGUCCAGACUCCUACGGGAGGCAGCAGUGGGGAAUCUUAGACAAUGGGCGCAAGCCUGAUCUAGCCAUGCCGCGUGAGCGAUGAAGGCCUUAGGGUUGUAAAGCUCUUUCAGGGGGGAAGGAUAAUGACUGUACCCCCACGAAGAAGCCCCGGCUAACUCCGUG
rnacentral:rRNA from 1 species